rnacentral:rRNA from 1 species
UGGGGAAUAUUGGACAAUGGGCGCAAGCCUGAUCCAGCAAUGCCGCGUGUGUGAAGAAGGCCUUCGGGUUGUAAAGCACUUUUAUCAGGAGCGAAACGCUGUCGGCUAAUACCCGGCGGAACUGACGGUACCUGAGGAAUAAGCACCGGCUAACUUCGUGCCAGCAGCCGCGGUAAUACGAAGGGUGCAAGCGUUAAUCGGAAUUACUGGGCGUAAAGCGUGCGUAGGCGGUUUCUUAAGUCUGCUGUGAAAUCCCCGGGCUCAACCUGGGAAUGGCAGUGGAUACUGGGAGGCUAGAGUGUGUCAGAGGGUGGUGGAAUUCCCGGUGUAGCGGUGAAAUGCGUAGAGAUCGGGAGGAACAUCAGUGGCGAAGGCGGCCACCUGGGACAACACUGACGCUGAGGCACGAAAAGCGUGGGGGAGCAAACAGGAUUAGAUACCCUGGUAGUCCACGCCCUAAAACGAUGCGAACUGGAUGUUGGUCUCAACUCGGAGAUCAGUGUCGAAGCUAACGCGUUAAGUUCGCCG